UGGAAAGGCGCGCGAUACAGGGUGACAGCCCCGUACACAAAAGCGCAUGUGCUGUGAGCUCGAUGAGUAGGGCGGGACACGUGGUAUCCUGUCUGAAUAUGGGGGGACCAUCCUCCAAGGCUAAAUACUCCUGACUGACCGAUAGUGAACCAGUACCGUGAGGGAAAGGCGAAAAGAACCCCGGCGAGGGGAGUGAAAAAGAACCUGAAACCGUGUACGUACAAGCAGUGGGAGCACAGGUUUACCUGUGUGACUGCGUACCUUUUGUAUAAUGGGUCAGCGACUUAUAUUCUGUAGCAAGGUUAACCGUAUAGGGGAGCCGGAGGGAAACCGAGUCUUAAUUGGGCGUUAAGUUGCAGGGUAUAGACCCGAAACCCGGUGAUCUAGCCAUGGGCAGGUUGAAGGUUGGGUAACACUAACUGGAGGACCGAACCGACUAAUGUUGAAAAAUUAGCGGAUGACCUGUGGCUGGGGGUGAAAGGCCAAUCAAACCGGGAGAUAGCUGGUUCUCCCCGAAAGCUAUUUAGGUAGCGCCUCGUGAAUUCAUCUCCGGGGGUAGAGCACUGUUUCGGCUAGGGGGCCAUCCCGGCUUACCAACCCGAUGCAAACUGCGAAUACCGGAGAAUGUUAUCACGGGAGACACACGGCGGGUGCUAACGUCCGUCGUGAAGAGGGAAACAACCCAGACCGCCAGCUAAGGUCCCAAAGUCAUGGUUAAGUGGGAAACGAUGUGGGAAGGCCCAGACAGCCAGGAUGUUGGCUUAGAAGCAGCCAUCAUUUAAAGAAAGCGUAAUAGCUCACUGGUCGAGUCGGCCUGCGCGGAAGAUGUAACGGGGCUAAACCAUGCACCGAAGCUGCGGCAGCGACGCUGAUGCGUUGUUGGGUAGGGGAGCGUUCUGUAAGCCUGCGAAGGUGGCCUGUGAGGGUUGCUGGAGGUAUCAGAAGUGCGAAUGCUGACAUAAGUAACGAUAAAGCGGGUGAAAAGCCCGCUCGCCGGAAGACCAAGGGUUCCUGUCCAACGUUAAUCGGGGCAGGGUGAGUCGACCCCUAAGGCGAGGCCGAAAGGCGUAGUCGAUGGGAAACGGGUUAAUAUUCCCGUACUUGGUGUUACUGCGAAGGGGGGACGGAGAAGGCUAUGUUGGCCGGGCGACGGUUGUCCCGGUUUAAGCGUGUAGGUGUGUGUUCCAGGUAAAUCCGGUUCACUUUAACACUGAGGCGUGAUGACGAGGCACUACGGUGCUGAAGCAACAAAUGCCCUGCUUCCAGGAAAAGCCUCUAAGCAUCAGGUAACAUCAAAUCGUACCCCAAACCGACACAGGUGGUCAGG
rnacentral:rRNA from 1 species